CGAUAGCUUGCUAUUGCGGAUGGCGACCGGCGCACGGGUGAGUAACGCGUAUCCAACCUGCCCAUCACUUGGGGAUAACCUUGCGAAAGUAAGACUAAUACCCAAUGAUAUCCGUCGAAGACAUCUGAAGUGGAUUAAAGAUUCAUCGGUGAUGGAUGGGGAUGCGUCUGAUUAGCUUGUUGGCGGGGUAACGGCCCACCAAGGCGACGAUCAGUAGGGGUUCUGAGAGGAAGGUCCCCACAUUGGAACUGAGACACGGUCCAAACUCC
rnacentral:rRNA from 1 species